rnacentral:rRNA from 1 species
CUGGAACGGGACGCCGCAGAGGGUGAGAGCCCCGUACGGUUGGACGCCGAGCCUCUGUGAAGCUCCUUCGACGAGUCGAGUAGUUUGGGAAUGCUGCUCAAAAUGGGAGGUAAACCCCUUCUAAAGCUAAAUACUGGCCAGAGACCGAUAGCGCACAAGUAGAGUGAUCGAAAGAUGAAAAGCACUUUGAAAAGAGAGUUAAAAAGCACGUGAAAUUGUUGAAAGGGAAGCGCUUGCGACCAGACUCGCGCCCGUCGGAUCAGCCGUCGCUCGCGGCGGUGCACUCCGGCGGGCUCGGGCCAGCAUCAGUUCGUUGGGGGGGAGAAAGGCGGCGGGAAUGUGGCUCCACGGAGUGUUAUAGCCCGUCGUGUAAUACCCCCUGGCGGACUGAGGACCGCGCGUAUGCAAGGAUGCUGGCGUAAUGGUCGUCAGCGACCCGUCUUGAAACACGGACCAAGGAGUCGUCCUAAUAUGCGAGUGUACGGGUGUCAAACCCCUGCGCGUAAUGAAAGUGAACGGAGGUGAGAGCUUCGGCGCAUCAUCGACCGAUCCUGAUGUUCUCGGAUGGAUUUGAGUAAGAGCAUAUUGGGCCGGACCCGAAAGAAGGUGAACUAUGCCUGUGUAGGGUAAAGCCAGAGGAAACUCUGGUGGAGGCUCGCAGCGGUUCUGACGUGCAAAUCGAUCGUCAAACAUGGGCAUGGGGGCGAAAGACUAAUCGA